rnacentral:rRNA from 1 species
UAGGGAAUCUUCCGCAAUGGACGCAAGUCUGCUGGAGCAACGCCGCGUGAGUGAAGAAGGAUUUCGGUUCGUAAAACUCUGUUGUUAGAGAAGAACAGCGCAUAGAGUAACUGUUAUGCGUGUGACGGUCUCUAACCAGAAAGCCACGGCUAACUACGUGCCAGCAGCCGCGGUAAUACGUAGGUGGCAAGCGUUGUCCGGAUUUAUUGGGCGUAAAGCGAGCGCAGGCGGUCAAUUAAGUCUGAUGUGAAAGCCCCCGGCUCAACCGGGGAGGGUCAUUGGAAACUGGUUGACUUGAGUGCAGAAGAGGAGAGUGGAAUUCCAUGUGUAGCGGUGAAAUGCGUAGAUAUAUGGAGGAACACCAGUGGCGAAGGCGACUCUCUGGUCUGUAACUGACGCUGAGGUUCGAAAGCGUGGGUAGCAAACAGG